rnacentral:rRNA from 1 species
CCUACGGGUGGCAGCAGUGAGGAAUAUUGGUCAAUGGACGAGAGUCUGAACCAGCCAAGUAGCGUGAAGGAUGACUGCCCUAUGGGUUGUAAACUUCUUUUAUAUGGGAAUAAAAUGUUCCACGUGUGGGAUUUUGUAUGUACCAUAUGAAUAAGGAUCGGCUAAAGCCGUGCCAGCAGCCGCGGUAAUACGGAGGAUCCGAGCGUUAUCCGGAUUUAUUGGGUUUAAAGGGAGCGUAGGUGGAUUGUUAAGUCAGUUGUGAAAGUUUGCGGCUCAACCGUAAAAUUGCAGUUGAAACUGGCAGUCUUGAGUACAGUAGAGGUGGGCGGAAUUCGUGGUGUAGCGGUGAAAUGCUUAGAUAUCACGAAGAACUCCGAUUGCGAAGGCAGUUCACUGGACUGCAACUGACACUGAGGCUCGAAAGUGUGGGUAUCAAACAGGAUUAGAUACCCUAGUAGUC